GAUGCGAGAGGCAGCUGGAUUCGGGGGAUCGGGGGUGGUUUUUUUGUUUGCCUCGUGCAACUGAUCCUUUCUGAACGGGGUGGGGGGAGAGACAGGUCGCCAAAUCGGGACAUCGACACCGCGCUCCUUUUACGCACGAGCCGCCUCUCCUUGGAUUGGGGUCUUUUUGGCACAGCGGCGAUCUCAUUGCUGCCCGCCCUUAAGGAGCUCCGACUUCGCUAAUAUGGCGCCCUGGGCGAGGCCAAAAUUGGCGUCCUCCUUUAAAAGAUGUAUUCUCACAAUAAUUCAUUUUGGUACGGUAGCUUUUCUUUACGUAUAAAUAUAGGGUGUUUGUUUGUUUGUUUUUAGUAGUAGUAGAAUUCGUAAUAGUAUUUUGCGCCUGCUCGGCUUGCCACCCUGUGCAGGGAACCGCCCCCACUGCCCUCAAUCCGGCGCUGCCAUUAUUUUUGUUUAUUCAGCUCCUAGCUGGUCUCAUCAAGAAUUCGGAGCAGGUAGUGGUUAGGCUGCUAAUACCAGGUAACCGAACCCCGAUUUGGAAUAGCGUGCUGCGGCACCUGCAAGAGUUGCGCAGGGUCAAGGUCUGGUGAGCAGAUGGUGCCUAGCUAGAGUUGGUCAGGUUGGCCCCCAUGAUAUGGGUGCAAAAAUCGCGCCUCUGCACUGCUUCAUGCCUGGGCGGCGGGGCAAGGCGCGCAGGCUCUUCGCGUGGGCAGUCGCAGCAGCCCUAGGGGACCCCCUUCCCAGUCAAGCUACAGCGCUAUUUAUUAGAAGUGCGACUUUUUUCGAGUUUCUGGACCAUGGACUGUCCCAGACUUUCGCUGAGAGGUUUGGAGGUAACUGAUUGACGGCUUUCUAACGGCUCCUAAGGCAGGAGGAAAAUACUGGAGAUUGCUUCGUUGUUCUGGCCUUCUAUUCGUUUCUUUAAGGUGAUAUCCCACUUUCUCCAUAGGAGAUUAGUUGCUGUGAAAGUCUGCAGCAAAACCAACCCAUUAUUGUGGUGGGAAUACAAGGCACAAGGAAGUGAAAGGCAAACCCGGAUUUGAGGAAUGUUGCCUGCUUUUCAGGUGCAUUUAUAUAUCUGCUCAAGUUAUCAUAUUAAAGAUGGUUGAAAUG